rnacentral:rRNA from 1 species
AUUGAACGCUGGCGGCAGGCUUAACACAUGCAAGUCGGACGGUAACAGAUUAAAAGCUUGCUUUUAAUGCUGACGAGUGGCGGACGGGUGAGUAAGGCUUGGGAAUUUGGCUAAUGGAGGGGGAUAACUACGGGAAACUGUAGCUAAUACCGCGUAGGAUCGAGAGAUGAAAGGAGUGGGACCGAAGGGCCACUUGCCAUUGGAUAAGCCCAAGUGAGAUUAGGUAGUUGGUGGGGUAAAGGCCUACCAAGCCGACGAUCUCUAGCUGGUCUGAGAGGAUGGCCAGCCACACUGGGACUGAGACACGGCCCAGACUCCUACGGGAGGCAGCAGUGGGGAAUAUUGCGCAAUGGAGGGAACUCUGACGCAGCCAUGCCGCGUGAAUGAAGAAGGCCUUCGGGUUGUAAAGUUCUUUCGGUGGUGAGGAAGGCGGAUAAGUGAAUAGCUUAUCUGAUUGACGUUAGCCACAGAAGAAGCACCGGCUAACUCCGU